rnacentral:rRNA from 1 species
AACUCUGGUUGAUCCUGCCAGACCCGACUGCUAUCCGGGUAAGACUAAGCCAUGCAAGUUUAAUGGGAUAACUAAACAUCCCAUAGCAAACUGCUCAGUAACACGUGAUCAACUUACCCUAUGAAGGGAGAUAACCUCGGGAAACUGAGGAUAAUAUCCCAUAAUUGAGGAUGCCUGGAAUGGUUUCUCAUUAAAAGAACAAUUCAAAUGGGAAUUGUAUCGUCAUAGGAUAGGAUUGCGACCGAUCAUGGUAGUUGGCGAGGUAACGGCUCACCAAGCCUAUAAUCGGUAAGGGCCGUGAGAGCGGGAGCCCUGAGAUGGGUACUGAGACAAUGACCCAGGUCUUACGAGACGCAGCAGGCGCGGAACCUUCACAAUGCACGAAAGUGUGAUGAGGUUACCCGGAGUGCUAUAUAAUAUAGCUGUUGUAGGUGAGUAAGAUUCCCUACGAGAAAGGAGAGGGCAAGGCUGGUGCCAGCCGCCGCGGUAAAACCAGCUCUUCAAGUGGUCGGGACUUUUAUUGGGCUUAAAGUGUUCGUAGCCUGUUUAGUAAGUUCUUGGUUAAAUCGGAUAGCUUAACUAUCUGUUUGCUAAGAAUACUACUAUACUAGGGGGCGGGAGAGGUCUGAGGUACUCCAGGGGUAGCGGUGAAAUGCUAUAAUCCUUGGGGGACCACCAGUGGCGAAGGCGUCAGACUGGAACGCGCCCGACGGUGAGGGACGAAAGCCAGGGGAGCGAACCGGAUUAGAUACCCGGGUAGUCCUGGCUGUAAACUAUGCGUGCUAGGUGUUGGUAUGGCUAUGAGCCGUAUCAGUGCCGUAGAGAAAUCGUUAAGCGCGCCGCCUGGGAAGUACGGUCGCAAGACUGAAACUUAAAGGAAUUGGCGGGGGAGUACUACCAGGGGUGAGGCGUGCGGUUCAAUCCAAUUCCACACGGAGAACCUCACCAGGAGCGAUGGCAGGAUGAAGGUCAAUCUGAAGGGUUUACCUGACAGGCCAAGAGGAGGUGCAUGGCCGUCGCCAGUUCGUGCCGUGAGGUAUCCUGUUAAGGCAGGCAACGAACGAGACCCGCGCCUUUAGUUGCCAUCAAGAGGCAUUAGCCUCGUUGGGAACGCUAAAGGGACUGCCAUCGUAUAGAUGGAUGAAGGAGCGAGCCACGGCAGGUCAGUAUGCCCCGAAUCUCCCGGGCCACACGCGGGCUGCAAUGGUAUGGACAACGGGAUGCGACUCCGAAAGGAGAAGCUAAUCUCUAAACCAUAUCUCAGUUGGGAUUGUCGGCUGCAACUCGCUGACAUGAACGUGGAAUCCCUAGUAAUCGUGCGUCAUCAUCGCGCGGUGAAUACGUCUCUGCUCCUUGCACACACCGCCCGUCGCUGCACAAGAAUGAUAUAUUGAUGAGGUUUGGUCCUGUGGGUCAAAUCAAAUCAGUAUUUCGUGAUUGGGCAGAAGUCGUAACAAGGUAGCCGUAGGGGAACCUGCGGCUGGAUCACCUCCUUA